ensembl:lncRNA
AAGAAAAAAAAAAAAACCCAAACUGCUUAUAGAAAUAUGACUUGUGCUUUCAGCUAACCAGGCGUCUAAAAUAAGAAUGGUGCUCAGCACAGAUUCUGGGAAGGCUUUUUAAGAAAGGGAGGAGGAAAUGAGUCGUCAUCCUGGGCUCCUUGGGCGCAGGACUCGCCUUGGUCGUGGUGUCUGAAGAUGACCUCCUGCCAAACCAAGAGCCAGGGUCCACGGUUGGAAAACUGCCCACCGGCCACUGAUGUUAAAAAGAAGCUGGGGAAAGUCUACUUAAGCGCCCUGUGCCUUGUCUGUGCCUUUGAAUGAUGUGUGACUUUUCUUAUUCAAUUUAAUUUGGCACUCGCAACCUGCCAUUUCUUCUUCUUCUUUUUCUUGCAUGCAUGAUCUUAGCUCCAACUAGGGGUUGAACACACACCCUCUGCAGUGGAAGCACAGAGUCUUAACCACCGGACAGUCAAGGAAGUCCCUGCAAUCUGCCACUUCUGUUGUUCUCAGCUCCUUCCAGAAUGGGUCACCCUUUCCCUGGGACUCCUCACCUGGACAGGCCCUGCCUCACCUGGGGAGACAGGUCACCACUGAGCUCUGAGCGGAGUUCCCUGUUCUGCACAGUCGGGUCUCGUUAGUUGUCUGCUUUAUACAUAAUGUUGUCUCCACAGGAACCUCAGGGGACUUCCUGUUCCCAUACAGUUGCUACAGAGAUGCAGAAAUCAGGUUCACUCUUCACUCCUUCAAAAUGUACAGCGGGCGUGUUAGACUUGAGUUAAAGGGACACAUCUGGUUUUCUACCAGGUGUAAAAAUGGUUUUGACCAGACUGUGUGUUUCAGAAUCACUGGCUUCUGCUGUAACCGUUUGUGAUUUAUUUUACGUAUUUGAGAACAUCUGAUGGCUCCCCCGCCCUGCCCCACAGCUGCCAUGGUGGGAGCCUUGGAUACAGAGGGCUUCUCCUCUCUUUGGCCUCAGCACCCAACACUCCACACUUCUCCCAGGAACCCAUGCUGCUUCAGCUGAAACUUCAUCUGAUGCUUCACAGGGAAUUGGCAUCAAGUUGGGGGCGUGGUGCCUUCCAGGCCAGGAUGGCAGGGCCCCUCCAGUGGGAAGGGUCAGAGGCUCAGGCAGCGUGGGGUCAGGCACCCAGGGAGCAGAUGAAAGUCUAAUCUUGGACCAUGGUUUUUCUUUGGUUUCUUCUCAAAGGCUGCGUUUGGAACUCAGACCCCACUGAUUGGCUGGUCUUUUGACUGGUGUUGGGUUUCUAAACACCCUCCUCCACGGAGAGGUCCCUGGAGAACCAAGGUGGUCAGUGAGAUGAAUGGAAGCUUUUUUUUCCCCCCUUUAACUUUGUUUAAAAAGAGCUAUUUUGUUAUGAAAGUAUCAGUGUUUGCUCACUGUAGAAAAUAGAUCACAUAAAAGGAAAAACAUCCUCGCUGCUUUCUGCCACCCCAAUAGGCUGUCAGGGAUGUAGGGUCUAUCUUUCCAUCCUGGAAGGCAGCCUGGUACCCACACUGCUUGUCACCCUCUUUUCCUCUUGCUUAGUAAUGUAUUGUGAAUAUCUUCCCACGGUAAAAUGUUUUGCCAUGCUACAAUCCCUUCUGUACGACUUACUCCAUCAGUGUAUGAAAUUAACUGUUAUCCUCAGUGUAUUAUUUGUUCAACUUCCUGGUGUUAGCACACUGACUUUUUUUAUUCUUAUAAGUGAUGCCCAUCUUGUGUCCAUGAAUCAGUAUUUGUUUAGCUCAAGAGAAGCUUUGUUUUUUUUUUUUUUUUUUGGGGGGGUCACAGUCUACAAAGGAGGCUUUUCUUUCUUUCUGGCAAUGCUAUGAGACAUAGAAAUUAAAAAUAAAAAUUGAAUCCUUCAAGUAACCAGCUGGAGUUAGCUGGUUGACCAUUCAUGAACAGUUUCAGCCCAAACCCCACGAACUCUCUCUGGUGGCCCAGGAACCAGCCAGGAGAGCUGCCCUCUGCUGGCCCUACCUCUCUGGAAGUCAUCCCACCUGUCCCCCAACUCCCCGCAGGGUAGAAGUGGAGACAGGGGCACAGCAGGAUGGGAGGCGGUCAGCGUCCAGGGGCUGGGUCUGGGAGGGACCAAAGGAAGGAGGAGUGUGUUGUCCAAGCCAUGAACUGACUCCCUAAAAAGGUGGGACACAGUGAGUGGCGUGCUGAGUACAGAAAGUUCUAGAACCCGGAGGACCAAGGCCUGGCUUUGUCUCCAAUUGGCACCAGACUCUGAGCUUAACAUUACCAUUCAUGGCCUUUAGCUGAGCACCUACUUUUUAUUUAUUUUUCUUGUGUCUGGCCUCUUUUAAGGCUCAAAGUAGAUAAUAUUGGUAAGGGUGCUUAAGAACAGCUUAUUUCAUUAAAGGAGCCAAAAUCUAGUCUCUGUUGUAAGUGAAUGUACCUUUUGUAAAAAAAAAAAACACAAAAAAAAACACGUUUUGAGCAAUAAAGUAAUUUGUUUAUUGGCUGUACCCGUGGCGUGUGGGAUCUUAGUUCCCUGAUCAGGGAUCAAACCCAUGUCCACUGCAUGGGAAGCACAGAGUUUUAACCACUGGACUGCCAGGGAAAUCCCAGUAAAUUAUUCUUAGAUUAAUGUAUAACACACCUUUUCUUAAUAAACACAGAG